CAAUUUCAGAAUGAAAUUAAGAAAGAAUUUUUUUUUUUUUAGUCUUAAAAGGGAUACAUUUACUUCCAGUGGUAUAGUAGCAUGUGUUUAACUUGUAUUCAUAUGCUUAUAGUUAAGGUUGCACCGAUAACGUAUCGGUAUCGGCACCGAUACUGGCACGUACACAUAGUAUUGGUAUCGGCAAUGGGUAUCGACCCAUUUAGUACUAUCAGCACUGCACUGGCUUCCAGUCAAAUUCCGCAUAGACUAUAAAAUUCUCCUGUUAACAUAUAAAGCCCUACAUGGGCUCGCUCCUGAGUAUUUACAAGACCUCAUCUCCUGUUAUGAACCACCGCGAUUACUUAGAUCUCAGGGUGCUGGUUUAUUAGUAGUUCCUAAAAUUCAGAGGAGCUCUGCAGGAGGAAGAGCUUUCUCUUAUAAAGCGCCUCAACUCUGGAAUAAUCUCCCCGAAUAUGUUCGGGACUCAGACACAGUCUCAAUCUUUAAGUCUAGACUGAAAACUUACUUGUUUAGUUUAGCUUUUGGUAAUUAAUGUUUUUCCCUUUAGAUAAGGCUGCAGAUUCAGGGGUUCAUGGACAGAGGAAAUUGUGGUAAACUGAGAUGCUGGUGCUGUUGUUCUCCCACUGCACACGGUCACUCAGGUUUGUGGACGGUGGAGUGGGUGGAGGCCAGUGUUUCAGGGAGCCUUCAUGUCUAUGUUACCUUCUGGCGCUCUGCCUUUUGUUAGGCUGUUUUAUUUAGAUCUGCCGGAGUCAUUAGCCACACUCUGAUAAUGUUUUAUAUUCUCUGUUUUACAUAAAUCCAGUCAAAACUAAUUCCAUCUCUCUGCCUUCCUCUGAGUUACUGACUGCCCACCUGUCUGACCCGAUACCGAGGGAUGUUGGACCCUCAGGCUCUCAUGUCGUCUGUCUGGCCAGACUGGAAGUUUCUGAAGUCAGCUCUUCUCCAUCACCCACCACAGAUCAGCUGCUCAUCAUCCAUCUUACUCUAUAAGCCAUUAGUGGAGCUGCUAUACACCUGAAUAUAUAAAACCUAUGUGGAUGUAUGAAAGACUUUUUAAAAUUAAUUUAAAAGCCAUUUGACCAGUGGUAGGAUGGUCCCCCCUUUAAUGUACCCUAGCCAGCCUGUAGGUGGCAGCACCACCAGUAAUGCCCAAUGCAAGAAAACACCAGAAGAAGAAAUAGGGGUGUGGCUUCACAUGUAACAAAAGCUCCCCUGAGGCAGGAACAAAGCCUCUUUGAGUUUGCCCACAGACAGGUAAACAUCUGAACAAAGAGACCAGAACAUCAAGACCAAGGCCUCUCCUUUGUUCUACCAAGAGAACAAAGAGAACAUCUUUAGGCCUACAUCUUCAAGAUUACAACUUUAGCCAAACGUCUGAUCAACGUUUACACACGGCUAUUUCUUCAAGACAAGCUUGCACGAGAUACAUAGCUCGGAAAAGAAAAGAAAAGCGACCGAGAGAACACGUGUGCACACUCGCAUACGCGAAAACCCCCUUUCCGUCUCUAUCGCGCGCACACACGCGCACGCACUCACCCGCUCUCUCUCUCUCUCUCUCUCCCUCAUACACACACCCUUAGCUAAAUAAACAUUUAGCUCUCAUAUUGUAAAUAUACUGACUGCUGUUUGUAAUAUUUGUGUUUAGAUUAGUUUGUGUGUUAAUAAAUGUCCAUUUAUUUUCA